AAAGUCGUAACAAGGUUUCCGUAGGUGAACCUGCGGAAGGAUCAUUGCAAAUCAUAGGUGGUGUGGGUGGGGGUGGUGAGGGGUGGUGGGAUCAAAACCACUGCCCUUUCCGCGCCCGCCUGCCGCCGACAUUUGGUCGGGAUGCGAGUCCCGGAUCAUAUUCACGCUUGUGCUGUUUGACAGAGUAAUGAAUGGUUUAAAUUAUGACAACUUUUAACAAUGGAUCUCUUGGCUCUU
rnacentral:misc_RNA from 1 species